GACGAACGCUGGCGGCGUGCUUAACACAUGCAAGUCGAACGGAGCACCCUUGAUUGAGGUUUCGGCCAAAUGAUAGGAAUGCUUAGUGGCGGACUGGUGAGUAACGCGUGAGGAACCUGCCUUUCAGAGGGGGACAACAGUUGGAAACGACUGUUAAUACCGCAUGACGCAUUUUGAUCGCAUGGUCGAAAUGCCAAAGAUUUAUCGCCGAAAGAUGGCCUCGCGUCUGAUUAGCUAGUUGGUGAGGUAACGGCCCACCAAGGCGACGAUCAGUAGCCGGACUGAGAGGUUGACCGGCCACAUUGGGACUGAGAUACGGCCCAGACUCCUACGGGAGGCAGCAGUGGGGAAUAUUGGGCAAUGGGCGCAAGCCUGACCCAGCAACGCCGCGUGAAGGAAGAAGGCUUUCGGGUUGUAAACUUCUUUUAAGUGGGAAGAGUAGAAGACGGUACCACUUGAAUAAGCCACGGCUAACUACGUGCCAGCCGCCGCGGUAA
rnacentral:rRNA from 1 species